rnacentral:RNase_P_RNA from 1 species
UCAGAUGGCUGGAUGGCUGCUGCUCUUUUUUCGUAAAAGAGGAGAGGAAAGUCCGGGCUCCACAGGAUCAGGAUGCCGGGUAACGCCCGGCGGGGGCAACCCUAGGGAAAGUGCCACAGAAAAGAUACCGCCAUGGCGUGCCAUGGUAAGGGUGAAAUGGUGCGGUAAGAGCGCACCGCCGGUCUGGUAACAGAACGGGCAUGGUAAACCCCAUCCGGAGCAA